rnacentral:misc_RNA from 1 species
GUACAACAUCGUGCCAUGUGUAGAAAAUGAGUUUUUACACUUAGCAAAGUAAAGAAUCAUGGGAACUAUUUCUUGAAUUUUGCUUGAUUGUGAUUCAUCUUUCAAUGGUAGGGAAGGGGUAAAAUAGAAAACAGUUCC